UUUCGGGUUUACUUCGUUAUUAGUAUUAAUUGAGUGUAAUUCGCGAGUUAGCAGUCAAUCAUUCAGCAAUCGGAGCAAUUUAAUCGCAAGCGCAAUAAUGGAGCUAAUAUGUGGAAACCAAAGCUGGAUUUUUGCAUUUUUAAUGACUCUGAUUUAUUAAUGGCGACAAGAUGAUUAAGACAGCGUGAUAUCCAGUAAGCCAUGGCGGGCAACAGUUAUUGGGUGUUGGUGGGAAGUUUGCGGCUGGGAAACCGGACACUGUGGAAAACUGCUUUCGGCAGUUCCACACGCGCUUGGAAAUAUCGACGCCAACUCACAUACAUCUGUUGC